AUUUAACUGAUGAGUCCCAAAUAGGACGAAACACGUGUCUUGGAU
rnacentral:hammerhead_ribozyme from 1 species